GUGAGUGUUUCUUUGGCAGUGUCUUAGCUGGUUGUUGUGAACAAUACUCAAGGAAGCAAUCAGCAAGUAUACUGCCCUAGAAGUGCUACAC
rnacentral:pre_miRNA from 1 species